GACGAACGCUGGCGGCGUGCCUAAUACAUGCAAGUCGAACGCACUCUCGUUUAGAUUGAAGGAGCUUGCUCCUGAUUGAUAAACAUUUGAGUGAGUGGCGGACGGGUGAGUAACACGUGGGUAACCUGCCCUAAAGUGGGGGAUAACAUUUGGAAACAGAUGCUAAUACCGCAUAAAACCUAAACACCGCAUGGUGUAGGGUUGAAAGAUGGUUUCGGCUAUCACUUUGGGAUGGACCCGCGGUGCAUUAGUUAGUUGGUGAGGUAAAGGCUCACCAAGACCGUGAUGCAUAGCCGACCUAAGAGGGUAAUCGGCCACACUGGGACUGAGACACGGCCCAGACUCCUACGGGAGGCAGCAGUAGGGAAUCUUUCACAAUGGACGAAAGUCUGAUGGAGCAACGCCGCGUGAGUGAAGAAGGUUUCGGAUCGUAAAACUCUGUUGUUGGAGAAGAAUGUAUCUGAUAGUAACUGAUCAGGUAGUGACGGUAUCCAA
rnacentral:rRNA from 1 species